rnacentral:rRNA from 1 species
UAGAGUUUGAUCCUGGCUCAGGAUGAACGCUGGCGGCGUGCUUAACACAUGCAAGUCGAACGAUGAAGCCCAGCUUGCUGGGUGGAUUAGUGGCGAACGGGUGAGUAACACGUGAGUAACCUGCCCUUAACUCUGGGAUAAGCCUGGGAAACUGGGUCUAAUACCGGAUAGGAGCGUCCACCGCAUGGUGGGUGUUGGAAAGAUUUAUCGGUUUUGGAUGGACUCGCGGCCUAUCAGCUUGUUGGUGAGGUAAUGGCUCACCAAGGCGACGACGGGUAGCCGGCCUGAGAGGGUGACCGGCCACACUGGGACUGAGACACGGCCCAGACUCCUACGGGAGGCAGCAGUGGGGAAUAUUGCACAAUGGGCGCAAGCCUGAUGCAGCGACGCCGCGUGAGGGAUGACGGCCUUCGGGUUGUAAACCUCUUUCAGUAGGGAAGAAGCGAAAGUGACGGUACCU